rnacentral:lncRNA from 1 species
CAUUUUAUCCAAAAUACUACUAUAUGUCGAGACUGAAAUCCUCCCAUGAAUAGAUGGCACACCCAAGUAUUUUCCCAAAUCAGCAGUCAAAGGAAUACCUGACCUUGAAGACAAAAGUGACGCCAAAUCACUAUCAACAAAAGGCGACAAAUAAAGAGAAGACUUAGCUAAAUUCACUUUCUGCCCGGAAGCCUUAGCAAAGUCAUCCAAACAUGAUAAAAUCAAAUCCAACUGUUCCACAGAAGCUUCUGCGAACAAAACCAUAUCAUCCGCGAACAUAAGAUGAGAAAUCAU